CCAUCUUUAUUUCACUACGAUUAAGACCUUCCCAUUACUGUUACCUGUUUGCUAUUUCUUAUCUUUUCUAUCUUCUCUUAUCUUUUACUGUUCCUUAUCUUCCUGUCUCCCUCACACUCAAACGUGUCCCUUCUCACUCCACAACGCUCAGGGCCUCCCGUUACUGCCCGGCUGCAUCGCUGUGCCCUAAGUCUAUAUACACCAAGUCAAGUCAUACGCAGGGUUGUGGGAGGAGGCACGGCCGAGGCGUGGUUUAUGCGUGACACUGCUUGGAGCCAAACUAGAGAAUGUAGAAACAGGGAUUUAGAGAAAACGAGGAAAGGCGGACUAAUUUAAAUCAAUCCCUUCAACAUGCCCUCCCUCACACCCCACACCGCCGUUUGUAGGCAUUGGAAUUAGUCACGCAAUAGCACAAUAAAAAGACAGUUUUUCGUCAGUGUCUUGCCUGAACGCGCUGUGAAAGAAGGCGAGAAUGCACAUCCAGAGUGCACACACGGCCCCAACUUUAGUCACCCCUGAACUGGCGGGUAUUUUUUGUUUUUUAGCUACAAGUGACGUCAUCCCGCUGCUCCGCCCUAAAAACCCCCUCCAGCGCGUACCGGUCGCAGUUUUGAAGCAGAGUGACUUGACUUGGUAUAUAUAGACUUAGGCUGUGCCCUGUCUGUUCCAAGGCCUCCAGGGUGUCUGUAACUUUCCUUCCUGCUUACGGCCACUCCUCCAGCAAUUUGUCAUGCAUGUGUGUGUGUGUAUGUGGGGGGGGGGAGAAGAGGGGUAUAUGUAUCAGGACACCUCUCCUCCUGAAAUUGACCCAUCUUUCGACCACUCCUCUUGACUUUAGUAGGAGCAGUGAGUAGCGGGCUUUUUUUUCAUCAUUUUUUUUUUGUUUUUUGCCCUUGAACAGUUUCCUUUACUGUAAAAAAAAAUGCCACUACUAUAUUCUUGCUGAUUUUUCUUUAUCUCAUUUUAGGAUUUUUUACCAGGUCAUUUUAUUCGGCACAAUUUUUAAUUUUUUUUUACAGCAAAGGAGACAGCUCAAGGACACUAAAACAAAUAGGUCAUAAAAUAAAGCCUGUCAAAGCACUGCUCCAACAAAAGAAUAAUAUAGAACAAGAGCUAGGUCAAAUUAAAGAGUGGUCAGGUCAGUUUCGGGAGAAGAUCAAGGUGACCAAUGCAGUUGCGGCGUCAUGAUUUUAAUCCAAUCAACCAGCACACUCGGCACACAACUGAGAGAGCCCGGGUUCGGUUCCUGGGCGGAGUGGAAAAAAUUUGUCCGGCUUUCCCGAUACCCUAUAAAGUAUCAUUCUAACCAACUAUAAAUUAAUAAAUCAAAUAUAUAAUAAUAUUCAAAGACUGAGUUUCCCACCCCCGGCAUAUAGUUCCCACAUCCCUGAGGGGCAUGGAUACCCCCGGCUCAGAACCCCUGCCGGGCCACACACCCAGCUGCCACCUCUGCUCUCCCCUUUCCCUGUUCUGCCUUUACCUCUCUUGCCUCAGAUUCCAGCACCAUCACGCCUCCAUCCCUCCUGCCUUGCCCCAGCCAGUUUACUUUGCCUUGGUUUCACAUGUCCUCUGCUGAUUUUGUUUCCGCAAGGAGGCUUGGCGGUUACAAGCAGUAGUGGAGGUAAACCUGCCACUGGUCUGGCAAGAACAAUGGUGCCCAUCAUGGGGGGGCAGCUGUGGGCACCUCCAGCCAGCUGCAGCCAUUUGUGGUUGAGGUUACUCCAUGAUGCGAGUGAGGCUGAAGCACACACUGGGCUUCAUGUCUCUUUGUUGCAGUGUACACUCCUACGAGAAGUGCGAGACAAGAGGAGGUGUUCUACGCCAAACUCAACUCCAUACUAGACCAGUGCCCCUCCUGGAACACACUCAUUGCCCCUCAACAGGCUCAAAGACUGCCAUAAACUCAGGAGUAUGCAGUGACAAUCUCAAAUUAGCUCAAUGUGCUCAGCACCCUUGAGAACCCUGUAGAACUGUGGAACACCUUCAAAUGUGAAACUCUUCGAGCUGCCAAGGAGUGCAUUGGAGAGUGCCCAAGAUCUAGGAGUGGCUUCACCUCAGCAGAAACGCUGGAGAAUAUUGAGGAGAGUUGCCCUGCCAGGCUGGCUGGGAAUCAGGACCAAUAUAGGGUUAUGUCACCUAGGAGUAAAGCUCUCCUGAGGAGAGACAAGGAGAGGUAUGUCAGGGGUCUUGUUGAGGAUGUUGAGUGCCAUUUUAAUACAAAUGACCUGCGACCUGCUUACCAAGGCUCUGAAGAAGCUCCACUCCGAGCCUCCCUCUCAGGUGAACACUAUCCAAACAGCCGACGGCUGCCUUGUGUCGGACAUGGAAGGGCUGAGUACCUUGCUUCCCAAGCCAUCGCCUCCUGUUGCUGAUGCCCACCACCUCCUCCACCUCCAGCACCACCACUCAGCAGAUUAGUUUCCCUUCACCACUUAAAGCCAGUCCACACACGCCAGCUGUGCCACAUUUUUAAGACAAUUUUAAAGAUCUUAUUCAAUUUAUUAUCAACUUUAUUUAUCACACAUUUUCUCUACCACUGUGUAGUUUGUAUUAUUCCCGAGUUAAUGGAUGUUUACACUGCACACCUGUUUCUUCAUGCUCACCUGUCACCCUACACUGCUGUACAGUCUUGUAUAUCUUUACACAGCACACCCAUUGCUGUACAGUCUUGUAUAUCUUUACACUGCACGCCCAUUGCUGCAUGCUCACCUGUCACACACUGCUGUACAAUCCUGUACACACCUUACUUACAAACCACUGCUUGCACCUGAGCCUGUUGGUAAGUAGGGGAGGCUGUGUGUUUAUUAAGAGAAAUUAAGCUGAACAGAUAAUGUCUCAGCUCAGUGUUGUGGUGAACAGUCAUGCAUGGCUUGUGUUCCCUCUGUUCCAGGGUGCUGCUGCAGCACUCCAAGUGUGGCAGAGAAGACUGCAGAGCAAGGUGUGGCCGCGCUCCAAGCUCUCCUGCACCAAGAGAUGCCUGACCUUAACAACUCAAACACCAACAGCAACUUCAAAACUUUCAGUAAAGAAAGCUGGUGAGGAGCCGCGCCUGACUGACUGGUGUUGGAACUGACCCGAAGGAGUGGCCGAGGAAGGGACAGCCUGUGGGGUGGGCGAAGGAACCAUUGUGCCCGAGCCCAUCCUGUGACAGCCUCUUCAAUCCAGUGAUGUAUUGAGAGAGAGAGAGAGAGAGAGAGAGAGAGAGAGAGAGAGAGAGAGAGAGAGAGAGAGAGA